CUCUUUGGUGACGUGGUUGAUUACAUUACUGUUGAUCAUCUGUCCGUCAUCGUAUAAAGCCCGCCCUGACAAUUUGUUGGUCCACACAUCUCUGGUUCGAGCAUUGUUGCUCCACAACGGAUCAAGUCCAGACGGAACUUUCCGACCUGAAGAGUUGUGGGCGGGGCUAAGUUUGGCUGGCGUCCAGACUACUAAGCUGUGGCCGUCCUCUCUCGUCACCUCCGCAGAAAGCAGUCCCAUCAGAUACAAACAUCAGCAUCCGAUGCCUCUAAUGUUCCAGCAAUGGCCGACAAUUCAAAGUCCCUUCUGGCUCCAAAGUUGCAGGUAUUACAGCCCACCUACAGGUGAGAAGGUCCCAGGUUAAGUCCCAGAGGGAGUGUCCGGAGGUCGCUGCUGUAACGUCUCGUCUAU